rnacentral:rRNA from 1 species
GACGAACGCUGGCGGCGUGCUUAACACAUGCAAGUCGAACGGAAAGGCCCUGCUUUUGUGGGGUGCUCGAGUGGCGAACGGGUGAGUAACACGUGAGUAACCUGCCCUUGACUUUGGGAUAACUUCAGGAAACUGGGGCUAAUACCGGAUAGGAGCUCCUGCUGCAUGGUGGGGGUUGGAAAGUUUCGGCGGUUGGGGAUGGACUGGCGGCUUAUCAGCUUGUUGGUGGGGUAGUGGCUUACCAAGGCUUUGACGGGUAGCCGGCCUGGGAGGGUGACCGGCCACAUUGGGACUGCGAUACGGACCAGACUCCUACGGGAGACAGAAGUGGGGAAUAUUGCACAAUGGGCGGAAGCCUGAUGCAGCAACGCCGCGUGCGGGAUGACGGCCUUCGGGGUGUAAACCGCAUUCGCCUGUGACGAAGCGUGAGUGACGGUAAUGGGUAAAGAAGCACCGGCUAACUACGUG